CAGGAAUAUUGGUCAAUGGAGGCAACUCUGAACCAGCCAUGCCGCGUGCAGGAAGACUGCCCUAUGGGUUGUAAACUGCUUUUAUCCGGGAAUAAACCUAUUUACGAGUAAAUAGCUGAAUGUACCGGAAGAAUAAGGAUCGGCUAACUCCGUGCCAGCAGCCGCGGUAAUACGGAGGAUCCAAGCGUUAUCCGGAUUUAUUGGGUUUAAAGGGUGCGUAGGCGGCCCGUUAAGUCAGGGGUGAAAGACGGUAGCUCAACUAUCGCAGUGCCUUUGAUACUGACGGGCUUGAAUGAACUAGAGGUAGGCGGAAUGAGACAAGUAGCGGUGAAAUGCAUAGAUAUGUCUCAGAACACCGAUUGCGAAGGCAGCUUACUAUGGUUUAAUUGACGCUGAGGCACGAAAGCGUGGGGAUCAAAC
rnacentral:rRNA from 1 species